UUCUAUGACGUUAGCGGCGGACGGGUGAGUAACACGUGGGCAACCUGCCUGUAAGACUGGGAUAACUUCGGGAAACCGAAGCUAAUACCGGAUAGGAUCUUCUCCUUCAUGGGAGAUGAUUGAAAGAUGGUUUCGGCUAUCACUUACAGAUGGGCCCGCGGUGCAUUAGCUAGUUGGUGAGGUAACGGCUCACCAAGGCAACGAUGCAUAGCCGACCUGAGAGGGUGAUCGGCCACACUGGGACUGAGACACGGCCCAGACUCCUACGGGAGGCAGCAGUAGGGAAUCUUCCGCAAUGGACGAAAGUCUGACGGAGCAACGCCGCGUGAGUGAUGAAGGCUUUCGGGUCGUAAAACUCUGUUGUUAGGGAAGAACAAGUACGAGAGUAACUGCUCGUACCUUGACGGUACCUAACCAGAAAGCCACGGCUAACUACGUGCCAGCAGCCGCGGUAAUACGUAGGUGGCAAGCGUUAUCCGGAAUUAUUGGGCGUAAAGCGCGCGCAGGCGGUUUCUUAAGUCUGAUGUGAAAGCCCACGGCUCAACCGUGGAGGGUCAUUGGAAACUGGGGAACUUGAGUGCAGAAGAGAAAAGCGGAAUUCCACGUGUAGCGGUGAAAUGCGUAGAGAUGUGGAGGAACACCAGUGGCGAAGGCGGCUUUUUGGUCUGUAACUGACGCUGAGGCGCGAAAGCGUGGGGAGCAAACAGGAUUAGAUACCCUGGUAGUCCACGCCGUAAACGAUGAGUGCUAAGUGUUAGAGGGUUUCCGCCCUUUAGUGCUGCAGCUAACGCAUUAAGCACUCCGCCGGGGGAGUACGGUCGCAAGAAUGAAACUCAAAGGAAUUGACGGGGGCCCGCACAAGCGGUGGAGCAGGUGGUUUAAUUCGAAGCACCGCGAAGAACCUUACCAGGUUUUGACAUCCCUUGAACACUUUAGAGAUAAAGGGUUCCCCUUCGGGGGACAGAGUGACAGGUGGGUGCAUGGUUGUCGUCAGCUCGUGUCGUGAGAUGUUGGGGUUAAGUCCCGCAACGAGCGCAACCCUUGAUCUUAGUUGCCAGCAUUUAGUUGGGCACUCUAAGGUGACUGCCGGUGACAAACCGGAGGAAAGGGGGGGGAUGACGUCAAAUCAUCAUGCCCCUUAUGACCUGGGCUACACACUGGCUACAAUGGAAGGGUACAAAGGGCUGCAAGACCCCGAGGUCAGCCCAUUCCCAUAAACCAUUCUCCAUUUCGGAUGUGAGGGCGGCACUCCCCUCACUGAAAACUGGAAACCCUUGAAAUCCCGGAUACACUUGCCCCCGGGAAAUAAUUUCCCGGCUUUGUUAACACACGCCCGUCCCCCCCCAAGAUUUUUUACACCCCAAACCCGGUG
rnacentral:rRNA from 1 species